UGUGGCCUACGGGGCGCAGCAGUAGGGAAUCUUCCACAAUGGGCGAAAGCCUGAUGGAGCAACGCCGCGUGGGUGAAGAAGGUCUUCGGAUCGUAAAACCCUGUUGUUAGAGAAGAAAGUGCGUGAGAGUAACUGUUCACGUUUCGACGGUAUCUAACCAGAAAGCCACGGCUAACUACGUGCCAGCAGCCGCGGUAAUACGUAGGUGGCAAGCGUUAUCCGGAUUUAUUGGGCGUAAAGGGAACGCAGGCGGGCUUUUAAGGCUGAUGUGAAGGCCUUCGGCUUAACCGGAGUAGGGCAUUGGG
rnacentral:rRNA from 1 species